GAUGAACGCUGGCGGCGUGCUUAACACAUGCAAGUCGAACGAAGCAAUUAUAAACAACUGGAGAGAUUGCUCGAAGGAAGGGAUUAAUUGACUGAGUGGCGGACGGGUGAGUAACGCGUGGGGAACCUGCCUCAUACAGGGGGAUAAAAGGUAGAAAUGACGGCUAAUACCGCAUAAUCGCACAGUACCGAAUGGUACGGUGUCAAAAACUCCGGUGGUAUGAGAUGGACCCGCGUCUGAUUAGCUAGUGGGUGAGGUAAUGGCUCACCAAGGAAACGAUCAGUAGCCGGCUUGAGAGAGUGAACGGCCACAUUGGGACUGAGACACGGCCCAAACUCCUACGGGAGGCAGCAGUGGGGAAUAUUGCACAAUGGGGGAAACCCUGAUGCAGCGACGCCGCGUGAGUGAAGGAGUAUUUCGGUAUGUAAAGCUCUAUCAGCAGGGAAGAUAAUGACGGUACCUGACUAAGAAGCCCCGGCUAACUACGUGCCAGCAGCCGCGGUAACAC
rnacentral:rRNA from 1 species